rnacentral:lncRNA from 1 species
GAGGGCGUUAAUCCUAUGAACUUUUAGGAGUUACAUGUUAGAAGUGCGAUCCAGGGAUGGUAGCCUUGCAUGUAAUCAACGGUUUGUAUGCCACGGGAGUGGGUAUGGACUAGCUUAGAGAUUGCCUUAGGAAUCGCCUUAUUAAUUGAAUUGAACAUGUUAGUUAGGAGAAUCUGUUGAAACCUUUGCCUUGGGAAAUCUUGUCUUAUCUGUUUCUCUGUU